rnacentral:lncRNA from 10 species
GCAGAAUUCGGAUGAUGGUUUAGACGGAUUCUUCCCUAUUCUACUAGCAGAUACUGCUGGGAUGCUCAGAAUCACAGCCAUCUGAAUCCUGUAUUUUCCAACUAUGCUGUAAUGAAGGGCAUCCAUGGACCAUAUGAAACACUCCUCACAGCUUCCAUAUGUGUCAGUGCAGUGAACAUCAGGCAUGGCCCUCAGCAGGCAGCCCCUGCCCAAGACAACAUGUGGAAGUGGAUUCUGGUCUUCAGGGCUUCCAGCAUUCACUUUUGUCCCCCAUCUGUCUCUCUUCUCAUCAUAUGCCCCUCCUUAGGUCCCAGAAGCUACGAAUGGAUCAUAAAUCAGUGCCCUGGCCACAAGGGAUCCCAGGAACAUGAGAUUCAGACAUUGUCUUCUUCUAUACUGCUUGGUAGGAUGGAGACUUUCUGAGGAAGAAUCUUGAUGGCCCUGGGAAUUGAACACUGGAGAAGAGCUAUGUUAGUUAAACUGCUCUACAUAAGAGUUAAGUCAAGAAUUUAGACUUUUGCGUAUUGAGGACACAAGGGCCUUCAUCCUACAGAACUUCCAAAAAUCUGUAUUUUGCUGGUUGCACUCUCGUGGUGUUAGGUAUCUAUUGAAUUCCCUGAAAUGUAGAAUGUAGAAUUAUAGGCUGGUCAGAGCCUGGUUUGCUUUUUUCCCCAUCAAGUCUGCCUCAUAGGUGGUAGUACGUACUUCCAUCUGGAGGUACACAAUGUCCCCCUUUUGAUGAUGUUAGCAGCCAUUGAUAAUCAUUACCUAGAUCAAGGGUAGGCAAACCUAAAAGGCAAAUCUGGCCCACUGCUUGUUUUUGUAAAUAAAGUUUUAUUGGAACGCAGCCCAUCGGUUUACAUAUUAUCUUUGGCUGCUUUUGCACCCUAAUGGUAGAGUUGAGCCUUCGUGACAGACACUAUAUGUCCCGCAAUGCCUAAAAUAUUUACUUUCUGGUUCUUGGCAGAAAAUGUGUAUUGACCCCGAUCUAGAUACAUUAAAUUAUUA